rnacentral:lncRNA from 1 species
UUGUUGACGUUGUUGUUGAACUGGUGUUGAUUGAUUAUUUGAAAAAACGGGGAUAACUAAUGAAACUCGAUGAUGAUGAUGUUGACGUGGUUGUGGACUUCUUCUGAUAUGAGGCCUCCUCUGCCUCCCCACAGAUACUACAUUAAUCUCGCCUUUUUUAUUUAUGGCAAACCCACUACCGUACUUCUUGCUAGACGAAACCUCUUCUUUAGACAACCGUCCCUCUCGGAAACCUUCUUCUAAUCUCAUCCCCAUGUUUACCAUUUCGGUAAAAUCAC